UACGUAGGGUGCAAGCGUUGUCCGGAAUUAUUGGGCGUAAAGAGCUCGUAGGCGGUUUGUCGCGUCGGCUGUGAAAACUCGGGGCUCAACCCCGAGCCUGCAGUCGAUACGGGCAGACUAGAGUGCUGUAGGGGAGACUGGAAUUCCUGGUGUAGCGGUGAAAUGCGCAGAUAUCUGGAGGAACACCGGUGGCGAAGGCGGCAUCCUGGACCAACACUGACACUGAUGAGCGAAAGCCAGGGGAGCAAAGCGGG
rnacentral:rRNA from 1 species